AGGCAGCAGUGAGGAAUAUUGGUCAAUGGGCGAGAGCCUGAACCAGCCAAGUAGCGUGCAGGAAGACGGCCCUAUGGGUUGUAAACUUCUUUUCUGUACCAAGAACGACCUUUACGUGUAGAGGAGUGACGGUAGUACAGGAAUAAGCAUCGGCUAACUCC
rnacentral:rRNA from 1 species